GGACUAUUUAAUAAUAAGGAAAAUAAAUGCAUUUGAAGCCAAUCUCUCUUAAUUCAAAGCUCAUUUCCAUGGUGACCCAUUUGGAGCAGGAGUGCCUGACAUUGGCAUCUGGGAUCCUGACACCAUUCAUAAAAGUCAGCUCUCAUGCUUGCUGUAUACUAUGACUCACCAGGUAUUGUCAAUAUCCUUCUUAAGCAAAAUAUUGAUGUCUUCGCUCAAGACAUGUGUGGACGAGAUGCAGAAGAUUAUGCUAUUUCUCAUCAUUUGACAAAAAUUCAACAACAAAUUUUGGAACAUAAAAAGAAGAUACUUAAAAAGGAGAAAUCAGUAACUCGUGGCAACCAUUGAUGUUUACUCUGUCUUCAUAGUUUUACUUUUUUCAGAAGAGUCACAUAGUUGGAAUAAUACAGUGGAUAUCUUUUUGAAUAGUUAAAAAAUUAAAGCUCCAUGGCAGUUGAAUGGCCUCCUGCAAAACAUCCUUCCUUGAAGCCUAGCACUGAAGUAGAAGAUCCUGCUGUGAAAGGAGCAGUACAAAGAAAGAAUGUACAGACAUUGAGAGCAGAACAAGCCUUACCAGUGGCUUCAGAGGAAGAGCAAGAAAGGCAUGAAAGAAGUGAAAAGAAGCAACCACAGCUAAUUUUAAAACAUGCACUCUGACAGAAAAGGCAUCUGAGAAACAAAACAAGCAAAUUUGUUUUCCAUUUUGCACCUGCCAAAAAAAAAAAAAGUCUCAAGAACCAGAACUGG
rnacentral:lncRNA from 1 species